rnacentral:rRNA from 1 species
UUCAUUGGCGAGUGUGUGCGUGCAUUGUUUUGGAAGCAGUUUUCUGUUCCUGGCUGUGUUGUGCAUAUGCUUGCUGGUGCCCUGUGUCAUGGUGGGACGUCAGAGUCAAUUCGUAAGUUGCGGGAAAUGGCUAUUGGGGAGGUAGGUCGCUUCGGUGGCUGUUAUAUCCUGAUAGCUAGUAGUCGUGGCUGGGAUUGAGGUGCCUACAACGUGCUUUCGAGUGUCUGGGUGUCUCGUUUGGUAAGUUAUCUUGACAGCUUGCUGUGUUGGUGAUAUUAUCGGGCGAUUGAUGUCUGGCCUAACUUGUUGCCGUUCGGGACUUUGACGAAAUGGAGCGAUCCGUCCCGUCUUGAAACACGGACCAAGGAGUCUAACAUGUGUGCAAGUGUUCGGGUGUGGAAACCCAAACGCGAAAUGAAAGUGAAGGACAGUUUACUGUCUGAGGUAGGAAACCUUUGUUCUCAAGGGUGGCACUAUCGACCGAUCAUGAACCUUCGUGGUGAAAGAUUUGAGUUUGAGCACAUAUGUUGGUACCCGAAAGAUGGUGAACUAUG